GUGUUAUUCAUCUUUAUUAGGUUUAAAGGGUACCUAGACGGAGUACUUAGCCCAAUAUUAGAGGUACAAGUAAUCUAGAGUUUUAUAUGAGGAGGGGAGAACUUUUGGAGUAGAGAUAAAAUUCCGUGAUAACAAAAGGACUGGCAAAGGCGAAAGCGACCUUUUAUGUAAAAACUGACGUUGAGGGACGAAGGCUUGGGGAGCGAUAAGGAUUAGAUACCCUAGUAGUCCAAGCAGAAAAUUAUGAAUGUCAUAGACUUGGUUAAAACUAUUUCUAUAAAUGAAAGUGUAAACAUUCCACCUCAAGAGUAAUGUGGCAACGCAGGAACUGAAAUCAUUAGACCGUUUCUGAAACCAGUAGUGAAGUAUGUUAUUUAAUUCGAUGAUCCGCGAAAAACCUUACCACAAUUUGAAUAUUUUACAAGCGUUGCACGGCUGUCUUCAGUUAAUGUCGUGAGAUUAUGGUUAGUUCCAUUAAUUAACGUAAACCCUUGCUUUAUUUAAAAUGCGUGUAUUUUUGUUACACAUUUUCGUCAUAAAGCGGCUCUCCUAAAUCUUUGGGAUUGAUAACAGGGACUAAGACAAGUCAUCAUGGCCUUAAU
rnacentral:rRNA from 1 species